rnacentral:rRNA from 1 species
UACGGGGGGGCGAAGCGUUGUUCGGAAUUACUGGGCGUAAAGGGCUCGUAGGCGGCCAACUAAGUCCGACGUGAAAUCCCCAGGCUUAACCUGGGAACUGCGUCGGAUAUGGAUGGCUUGAAUUCGGGAGAGGAUGCAGAAUUCCAGGUGUAGCGGUGAAAUGCGUAGAUAUCUGGAGGAAUACCGGUGGCGAAGGCGGCAGUCCUGGACCGACAUUGACGCUGAGGAGCGAAAAGCUAGGGGGAGCAAACGGGG